GUGGCCUUAAUCUAAAGGGGCUCUCUGCUCCAGCUGAAAACAGCUCAACUUAACUAGUAACUUGUGGAGGUGGGAAACAUUUGUUCCACAUUCUGUGGGUCUGAAGUGCUAAAGCACCUGUAGAACUCUAACAGGUGCUCUUUAUUAUUAUUAUUAUUAUACUUUAAGUUUUAGGGUACAUGUGCACAACGUGCAGGUUUGUUAUAUAUGUAUACAUGUGCCAUGUUGGUGUGCUGCACCAUUAACUCGUCAUUUAGCAUUAGGUAUAUCUCCUAAUCACGGAUACUAUAGUUAUUUGCUUAUAUUCAUUCAAAAUCUAUUUUCUGGCUGUGUGCCAUGGCCAAUUUUCUGGCUGUGUGAAAAUCUAUUUUCUGUUUUCUGGCUGUGUGCCAUGGCUCAUUUCACCGUGUUAGCCAGGAUGGUCUCGAUCUCCUGACCUCGUGAUCCGCCUCGUGAUCCUCCUGAUCCUCGAAGCCGCCCGCCUCGGCCUCCCAAAGUGCUGGGAUUACAGGCGGGAGCCACCGCGCCUGGCCGUUCCCUCCCCAGCCUUAGUGGAAAGCAAGAGUCGGAGUCGGCAUUCUGGGCAGGGAGGCAGGUGAGGCAGGUACACAUCAGCAUCUCCAUCCCUUUGGGAAACUGACUCUUAAUAACAGAGUUUUUUGUACUUUUAAACUUUGUUUUUGUGUAGUCAAAUAUGUACAACAUAAGAUAUGCUGUUUUAUCUACAAAAUGGGCCUUUACAGUCAGCUUAUUUCCCUUGAAAACCUUGUUGGCAAGUUUCAUCAAUGUUGUAAUAUGAGUCAGGGUUCCAAUUUCUCCAUAUUUUCACCAGCAUUUAUUAUGUUGCUUUUUUUCCCCUAAAUUAUAGCCAUCCUAGCAGAUGUGAUGUGGUAAUGAAGAUUACUCCCAGUGGAUUUUGUUUCUUUUUGUUUUUUCAUUGUUGUUUUGCAAGAGAUUUUGCUAUCAUAUCUAAGAGCCUAUUACCAAACCCAAAAUUAUGAAGAUUUGCUUCUAUGUUUUCUCCUAAGAAUUUUAUGAUUUUAGUUUUUAUAUUUAGUUCAUUGCUUGUGAGGGUUUUUUUCAUAGACAUAUGAGUUUAUUGAGGAUCCCUUGUACAUGUCUUGCUGCUUUUAUGAUUUUCUCUUUGUCUUAUACAGACAUCCCUCAUUUCAUUGCAUUUUGCUUUAGCGCAAUUCAAAGAUAUUGUGUGCACCAAACAAGCUGCCAAGUUGUGAAUGAAAGAAAAAGUUAUUGAAGGAAAUUAAAAGUGCUGCUUUAGUGAACACAUGAAUGAUAAGUAAAACAGCCUUAUUGCUGACAUGGGGAAAAUUUAAGUGGUCUGUAUAGAUCAAACCAGCUGGCUUCAAAGCUUCAAAGGAUAGGCUGACUCUGUUGUUAGGGGCUAAUGCAGUUGGUGACUUUAAGUUGAGACCAUUACCCAAGAGCUCUGACGGAGACGUACAAGGAGAUGAAUGCUGUUUUCAUGCCUGCUAACACAACGUCCAUUCUACAGCCCAUGGAUCAAGGAGUAAAUUCAACUUUCAAGUCUUAUUAUUUAAAAAAUACACUUCCGGCCGGGGAGGCGGACGUUGCAGUGAGCCGAGAUCGCACCACUGCACUCCUGCCUGGGUGACAAGAGUGUGACUCCAUCUCAAAAUAAUAAUAAUAAUAAUAAUAAUAAUAAUAAUAAUAAUAAUGAUAAUGAUAAUAAUAAAAUUAACAGGAGUUUGGAAGAAAUUAAUUCCAACGCUCAUGGAAGACUUUAGGGAAGGAAGUAGCUGCAGAUAUGCCGGUGGAUAACCUGAGGUCAGGAGUUCGAGACCAGCCUGGCCAACAUGGUGAAACCCUGUCUCUACUAAAAAUACAAAAAUUAGCCAGGUGUGGUAGCACAUGCCUGUAAUCCCAGCUACUCGGGAAGCUGAGGCAGGAGAAUUGCUUGAGCCUGGGAGACGGAGGUUGCGGUGAACUGAGAUUGUGCCACUGCACUCCAGCCUGGCUGACAGAACGAGACUCUGUCUCAAAACAAACAAACAAAAACCAAAAGAUUUAGGAUAUAACAAAGUAAGUUGAUAAAGCAGUGGCAGGGUUUGAGAAGAUUGACACCAAUUUGAAAUAAGUUCUACUGUGCAUAAAAUGCUAUCAAAUGGCGUUACAUGCUACAGAGAAAUCUUUCAUAAAAGGAAGAAUCAAUUGAUGAAGCCAACUGAUUUUAAAAAAUUGCCGGCCAGGCACGGUGGCUCACGCCUGUAAUCCCAGCACUUUGGGAGGCCGAGGUGGGUGGAUCACGAGGUCAGGAGAUCGAGACCAUCCUGGCUAACACGGUGAAACCCCAUCUCUACUAAAAAUACAAAAAAUUAGCUGGGCGCAGUGGUGGGCGCCUGUAGUCCCAGCUACUGGGGAGGCUGAGGCAGGAGAAUGGCGUGAAUCCGGGAGGCGGAGCUUGCAGUGAGCUGAGAUAGCGCCACUGCACUCAGGCCUGGGCGACAGAGCGAGACUCUGUCUCAAAAAAAAAAAAAAGAAAUUGCCACAGCCACUCCAGUAUUCGCUUUAUUGUGGUGGUUUGGAACCUACCCCACAAUAUCUCUGAGGUAUGCCUGUAUAUUGCUGGCAGGAAUGUAAAAUUGCACAGUAGCUUUGCAAAAACAAGUUUGGCAGUUCUUCAAAAAGUUAAAUAUAGAGUGGUGAUAGUUGCACAGCUUCAUCAAUAUACUAAGAACUACUGAAUUGCAUGCUUUAAAAGGAUGAACAUUAUGGUAUGUGAAUUGUAUUUUACUAUGCAAUCUCGGCUCAUGGCAACUUUCGCCUCCAGGUUCAAGCGAUUCUCCUGCCUCAGCCUCCUGAGUAGCCGGGUCUACAGGCGUGCACCUCGUGAUCUGCCUGCCUCGGCCUCCCAAAAUGCUGGGAUUACAGGCGUGAGCCACCGUACCCAACCUUAAUAAGAACAAGCUAGGCACCUAGGGUGUCAAAUUGAAGGAGGCUCUGAUUCUCAGGGCCGCGCAAAUGCAGGGUUGGCACCUAUGCGUGUGGCCCUCCUGAAAUUUUGUGCCUUAGGCACCUGGCUUGCUUCUCCCUAAUUCAGGCCCUCAGGAGAAAGCUCUAAUUCUGGUCAAUUUGAAACAGGAGGGCACGGCUUCUGGGCGACGCUCCGUGCUCCAGAGAGAGCCAUUUGUCUGUUCCCUUCCUCUGGACGUCACCGUGCCAACAUGAAAUGCUUCCAAUUGAGUCCAGCCUGAGAUGGAAGGGGGUGGGGGGAUAUCUGAUGACAUCACGAACUGCU
rnacentral:lncRNA from 1 species